GGGGGUAUAGCUCAGUUGGUAGAGCACCGCCUUUUUAAGGCGAUGGUCGUGGGUUCGAGUCCCUCUGCCCCUACCA
rnacentral:tRNA from 1 species